GUGUUUGUCAAAAAUUUAAAAAUUAAGAAAUUUAGUCUAAUUAUGUUCUGCUUAGGUGUGUUAGAAUUUUCAAAACAUGAGUGAACUGCAUUUUGCUGCUGUUUUCCUCCGGCUUAACACAAUUUUAAUCUUUCAAAACCUGAAAUUGUUGCAUUUCCCUUCUCGAGAAAGUAAAAUCUAUGUGUUUGCAGGGAAAUUUAUCUGUCUUCAUUUCAUUUAGACUGGCUCACCCUCCCCACCCCACCCCUUUUCUUGAAGAUGAUAUUUGGAUAUUCAAUUGAACAUUUGUUGACUCCAAAUUAGCAGUAAUCUGAUUUUGUGCUUGAAUUGUAACCGAGCAUUUUAUUUGACACAAACAAAUAGUUACAUAUAAGAUUUCAAGGAUUUCUAAGACUUUUUGUUUAUGGUCAAACAUGUAAUCCUAUGACAUUUCUUCCAAAUGAGUCCACACCCCAAAAUGGAUAUGUUGUAGAUGUGUUUUUUGCAGCUUAAUGUUUUACAUUUUGAAUGUAAAUCUAUUAUUUGUGGUGAUCUUUGAAAAUGUGGCACUUACAGGGCAAUAAAAUAUUAAUUAAUAGCCUUUCCAUACCCCUUUUAUGCUUUGAAUUAUGUCAGAACUCCCUUUUUCCAUCUCAUUUUGUCAGGACAUUGAUGUAAAGAUUAAAACAACUUGCUUCCACAUAAUAUUUACACUAUGUAAUUUCAAGGAUACCUCUGAUUGUUAAAGUAUUUUAAAAACUGAAAUAUUCCCAUUUUUUAAAAAAAAAUAGUGCUUUGCGACCCUUUUAUUAGAGUGGCUGGUUGUCACCUAAAUACAGCAUUUAUUUUACAUUUAUCAAUCCAUAUUUUAAUAAAUAAUUCAUACUUCGUAUAACAAACUGUGUUUGUAUGUAUGUAUAUAAGCCAGGGAUAGAAAAACAUGGCUUUUAGCCAUAUUCCAUCAACAGUAUUACUUAUGUGGACACAAGUGGGAUUUGUUACCACACCAACAUUUUUAGAGGGUGGGCUUACAGGUUUCACAAUAGUUCCUUACAGUUACCUUCAAGGCAACAAAUUUGCAGCUUGUCUUCCUGUAUACCGGCCAAGGUUUCUAGAAAUAAAUGCUUUUCAUCUCAGACUUUCCCAGAAAUAGGGAAAUAUUAGCAUUUUGAGGCAUACAAAGUGUCAAAAAUGGACCAUUUUGUAGAAAAAGGUAAAAGAAAGUCAAUUUUUGAAAAAUAUUCCAAUAUUUUGAAUAUUUUUGAUGUGACUUGUCUGAAACUCUUUAAAUAUUUUCGCAGAACUCACAUUUCGACAAAAUUAAGAAAGAAUCUUCAAUUCUAGAACAAAAGGCCCAUGGACCUGAGCUGCAAUCCGGUAUACAAAACACUACAUAACUUUAAAGGGUCACCAUUUCUGCAAACUCACAUUUCGACAAAAUUAAGAAAGAAUCUUCAAUUCUAGAACAAAAGGCCCAUGGACCUGAGCUGCAAUCCGGUAUACAAAACACUACAUAACUUUAAAGGGUCACCAUUUCUGCAAACUCACAUUUCGACAAAAUUAAGAAAGAAUCUUCAAUUCUAGAACAAAAGGCCCAUGGACCUGAGCUGCAAUCCGGUAUACAAAACACUACAUAACUUUAAAGGGUCACCAUUUCUGCAGUAAUUAUUUUUUUCUGAUUCUGUAUUAUAAUAAUUUUGCAAAAAUAAAUGUGAAGCUAUAAAGAAAAGAAUUUUGAUGAUAUAUGAACUUAUAAAACCAUAUAGGAGGCAGACCACCAUUAAAUUUCAUCAUCUCGGUACCCACGAAUUGUAGUUCGUCUAUUUAUAGCAAUUCUCUCUCUCUCUCUCUUUUCUCCCCUUUUGCAUGCCCAUUUGUGUUGAUUUUUUGGUCUAGAAUGGACGAAGAGGGUUUGAAUUAACAUUUUCUGCCAGGUUUUGGUAAAUAUUCAUGAUUUUGAGGCGGAAGGAUAAGAGGGUUAUCAGGUUAGCUACGGCGAUAUGUACGGCAACUAGUUACAUGUUUUUAGUAUGCUUCUUCAAGUUUGUGUAUCUCAAAAUUUUGGUGGUCAACCUCAUACAAAUUUUAGUGCAAAGACAUGACCAUUUGUUCCUCUGUCUGUAGUGAAAAGCAUUCAGCCCAACGAAAAUUUGGGGAAAAGUUGGAGGUGGGCAAAGAGGCCAGAAUUAACAUUGAAGUCA